GCUUCCUUGGGUGACUGAACUGGUGGCCAUUGUUGUUUUGGUGUCCGCGGUGGGCAAGGCGGUGCAGCUGCUUCGUAGACGGAAAUAGGAAGUAUUUCAUCAAGUAGUAACGGGAUUUUGACUGCCCCACCUGAAGAAGCUGCAAGUGCUGCCCUGUUGUCCGCCGCAGGCCAGCGGCUUCCUCAUGUAAACUCCGCCAUCCAGGGAACUUUUUCUGUCCCUUGACCAACUGACACACACAUCACCUCGUUACAUGAUGGCGGUCAACGUGGUGUUCCCGCUCCUCAUUCCGCUGGAGGAGGACCUUCAUAACA